CAAGUCGAGGGGUAGGGUUCCUUCGGGGACCUGAGACCGGCGAACGGGUGAGUAACACGUAGGUGAUCUACCACGAGGUUGGGGAUAGCCCAUGGAAACAUGGGGUAAUACCGAAUACGAUCCACGAACUGUGGUUUGUGGAGGAAAAGGGCUUUGGCCCUGCCUUGUGAUGAGCCUGCGGCUGAUUAGCUAGUUGGUGGGGUAAAGGCCUACCAAGGCAACGAUCAGUAGCCGGCCUGAGAGGGUGAUCGGCCAUACUGGGACUGAGAUACGGCCCAGACUCCUACGGGAGGCAGCAGCUAAGAAUCUUCCGCAAUGGACGAAAGUCUGACGGAGCGACGCCGCGUGGGUGAUGAAGGCCGUGAGGUUGUAAAGCCCUUUUCUACCUGAGGAAUAAGCGCAGGAGGGAAUGCCUGUGUGAUGACGGUAGGGUAGGAAUAAGCCCCGGCUAAUUACGUGCCAGCAGCCGCGGUAACACGUAUGGGGCGAGCCGUUGUUCGGAAUUAUUGGGCGUAAAGGGCGUGUAGGCGGAUAUGCAAGUCUGGUGUGAAAGACCGCAGCUCAACUGCGGGUACGCGCUGGAAACUGUAUAUCUUGAAUCCUUGAGGGGGAACUGCGAUUCCUGGUGUAGGGGUUGAAUCUGUAGAUCUCAGGAAGAACAUCAGUUGGCGAAGGCGAGUUCCUUGGGCAAGUGAUUGAACGCUGAGGCGCGAAAGCGUGGGUAGC
rnacentral:rRNA from 1 species